GACAGAGGGUGCAAACGUUGUUCGGAAUUACUGGGCGUAAAGCGCGUGUAGGCUGUUUCAAAAGUCGGGUGUGAAAGCCCUGGGCUCAACCUAGGAAGUGCACUCGAAACUGCGGAGCUUGAGUCCUGGAGAGGAAGGCGGAAUUCUCGGUGUAGAGGUGAAAUUCGUAGAUAUCGAGAGGAACACCGGUGGCGAAGGCGAUGGCCUGGACCUAGAGCUGACGCUGAGGCGCGAAAGCGUGGGGAGCGAUCCGG
rnacentral:rRNA from 1 species